ACACUCACGUGGUUGGCUGCUUAGCAUCUUGCCCCUCCUCACAGCGCAAAUGUUUGUAAACGGGAAAACUACAGUAUGUAUAGAUGUGUAUGUCCUGGGUAAGUAAAGAAGAAAGAGGGGGUAAAUGACAACUGGCUAAACAUACGCUCAUUUUCAAGCUUGAAUACAGGAAAACAUGUCUUCAAGAAGAGAAUUCAAACCCAAAGUAUCCCUGCUUUUGGUACAGCUUGCCAUUAUUAUGCAGCAUUCUAAUACACAGGACAUCACCAUUAGACUCUGCAGAUCUCCUGGAAGUUGUCAUGAAGGUGGUGGGACAUGUUAUGAAACAGUGGAGGUACUGCCAUUGCAAGAGAGGUUGGACGGGAGAGAACUGCAGUGAGAACAUUGAUGAUUGUAAGAAUGCAGCUUGUUCCAAGGGAUCCACAUGCAUUGACGGAGUGGAUAACUUCAUCUGCCAAUGUUCACAUGGACGCACUGGUCUGUUGUGCCAUCUGGAGGAUGCCUGAAUAAGCAAUCCUUGUGGAUACAAUAGACCCUGUCACACCAACCCCAUCAAUGGGAAAUUUGUUUGUUUAUGUCCGAGUGGAUUUGGGGGUACUUCUUGUGAUUUGGACAUUGAUGAGUGUUCUAUAGGUCAGAACUGCACACAGAGACUCUGCAGUUCUCCUGGAAGCUGUCAAAAUGGUGGGACAUGUUAUGAAACAGUGGGAGAUAACGGCAACAGGACAUACUGCCAUUGUAUGAGGGGCUGGACUGGGAAGGACUGCAGUGAGAACAUUGAUGAAUGCCAGGAUUCUCCUUGUGCAAAGGGAUCCACGUGCUUUGACGGGGUGGACUCAUUUUCCUGUCAAUGCCCACAUGGACACACUGGUCUGCUUUGCCACCUACUGCCUGUGUAAGCAAUCCUUAUUUAAAUGGUGGACAAAGUCACGCAAACCCCAUCAAUGGAUAAGUCAUCUGUUCCUGUCAGCCUGGAUAUAAAGGUCAGUUUUGCCACCUAUAUGAUGCCUGUGUGAGCAAUCCUUGUUUAAACGGCGGACAAUGUCACACAAACCCCAUCAACGGAGAAAUCAGCUGUUCCUGUCAGUCUGGUUACAAGGGUCAGUUUUGUCACCUGUAUGAUGCCUGCUUAAGCAGUCCUUGCUUAAACUGUGGGCAGUGUCACACAAACCCCACCAAUGGCAAACUCACCUGUUCCUGUUUGCCUGGAUAUAAAGGUGCAUACUGCCAUGACGGAGUGUGUUCUUCGGGUCAGGACUGCACACAAAGAGACUGUGGUCCAUUUGGAAGGUGUCAGAAUGGAGGGACGUGUUUAGAAUCAGGCAGUAAGCGAUCCUGCAUUAGGAUGGCUGGACUGGAGAAGACUGCAGUGAGAACAUUGAUGACUGUGAGAUGGCAUCCUGUGCAAAGGGAGCCACUUGCAUUGACAGAGUAGCCUCAUUCUUCUGUCAAUGUCCAUAUGGACGCACUGGUCUGUUGUGUCAUCUGGAUGAUGCCUGUAUAAACAAUCCUUGUAAAUACCGUGAACACUGUCACACCAACCCCGUCAAUGGGAAAGCCUUCUGUACAUGUCUGAUUGGAUUUAAGGGUCCUUCUUGUUAUGAAGACGUUGAUGAGUGUUCUUUCGGUGUUAACCUAUGCGAACGUGGAGGGAAGUGCCUCAAUACCGUUGGGUCCUAUCGUUGUGAGUGUCCCCAUGGUUACACUGGGAAAAACUGUCAUGAAGUCAUUAUGAGUGAUGAACAUCCAUUCACUCCUAAAAUGUGAGGCUCAGCUGCCCAUCUUGACUAGAUGACAUUAUUCAAAAUCAUCUACAAACAUUAUAAGUACCUUAUUUUACAAAGUACGUUAAGAACAAUUAACAAAAGCGUAUUAACAAAUUAUUUCAUUUAUUCAUUUAAUUUCACAUUAGAUGACUAACAAAAUAUAAGUUAUUGUGACAUUAUGUUACAUAAUACAAUCAGGCCUAUAGUAAUUGUGGCAUGUGUUGUCAAGUUGGAUUGAUACAGACUAAUGUUAUAGCCAAGUUUCUUGACCAUGUUUAUUAUCUGGGGGAAUGGUUCUGGUGCUUUUUAAGACAUUUGUGGUUUGGAAGUGGUCUGUGGAGUGUUUGACAGCUGCCUUAUCUUCUCCUAAAUGUUCACAAUUGUCCCACCUCCUCCUCCUCUUUUUCACCAGUGGUCAUGCUUUAGAAUCCUUCCAUGCACAUAGAGGGUCCAAGCAGACAUCAUCCCGGGAUGAGGGCAUGCCAAAAAUGUACUUUGACAACUGUGCGCCAUCAAAUCAGGGGGCGAACAUCGUUUUUUUUUCUUUUGCUUUGUUUACCUCUUUUGUUUUUACAUCAACACAUCCUCUUGAGUGCCUGGUUUCACUAGGUUCUACUUAUUUUACAAAUUCUACUGUUCCUACAGUAUGUUAACUGGAAAGGAUUAGACUACUACUUUGUUGGACGGUGCCAGUCAGUGUUUAUGCCAAAAUGUAAUGAAUAAAGUUACACAGCAAAGACAUCCGUCGUCUUAUGUUGUGAUCUUGAGUGUUUUGUACAUCUGCUUAGGGAAAUAAAAGGAGGAUUACAUGAUUCAGAGGGAAACACAAUACAUUACCAUAUUAUACUGAGAACAAAUCAUUGAUUCAACACCAUUUCUCUAGAUUCACUAUUUAAAUUUUGCCGUGCUAAGUACACUUGGAGAGACAAUGGGUACAACUCAAACUAUCACUUUCCAUCCUCUCCUUUUGCUUGUGCCCUUGCCCACACAGCAGAGGACUCCGAUGCGGAUCCGCGUUCAAGUCACCACAUCCGUGUCACUGUCACAUUCGUUUAAGUUCCCCUUGGCGGAUCAGGGUCGCCACCGUGCGCCGCCCCAAAUUCUACUGUCAAAACGUGGAUUAUAACCGGAUCCCUAUCUGAUUCACAAUCGCGAACGCGCCGUAAAAUCUAACGGACGUUGGUACAGUUUUUGUUAGAGCAAACACGACCGAACAGCGCUCUCCAGUAAGUAUUGAUUUAUUUAUAUUAGGUGAUACACAGAGGUACAAAAAGUAUAUCUGAAGCUUCUAUACUAUCAAUACUUAUUGAUAUUUCGUAGGAUUUUGUUUUAUGACUUUAAAAAGUGUAUGUUAACCCUAGCUGUUUUCAAAACGAGACAGCUAAUUCAUUCAUUCAAAGGCAUGGAGAACUACAUUGGCUAUUGUAGUAUUUCCUAAAUACUGUUAAAAUAUGAUGCCAUCCGAUACAUGGAGGAAGUGCAGUUGAAUAAAAAUUAUCUAUACCCAUUUUAACAGCCUUGUUUACGUUAGCUUGCUAGCCAGCUACUAGCAAACCGGUUGGCUGAAGCAAACUUGUGUAAAGUGAAACGUAGUUUCAAUACUCUAAUGAAACGGCUACAUUGGUCCGAAUUUGGCUCGUGGUACACUUUUACACGGAUUGGUGAUGGUCUCAACAGGUUUGACACCAACUGUGUUUUUAACGGUAAAAAUCCACAAGCGGUGACAUCAUGUUCUCCUCACGUUAACGAAAUCCAGGCUAAUUAUUUAUUAGCAAAAUGGAUAGCCAUGAACUGCGCCCUCGUCCCAUAUGCUGUCCAUCAUUGGUGAAUGAAUGAAGUAGCUGGGCUCAUAGUUUGAUAGAUGUCUGUGGUUGGGCUACAAAUAUCUGAAUUUGCUCUUAAUCUUGUGCAACAGCAAACAGGUUGAAUUACCUCUGGGUCGGACAGGGCUAUCCAGCUGUUACCCACCCUGCUACGGUGAUGCUCGCCUGCUGCCUCCCGGCUUUUACGGACCAAGAAUCGGAGCGCUGAUGUGAUGUUUCCCCAUCGACUGAUGAGGGAAGGAAGGCAACCACGGCAUGCGAUUGUUCAACAUGACAGUGAGACAGAAAAAUCAUGUCA